GUGUCAGCAGCCGCGGUAAUACGUAGGGGGCGAGCGUUGUCCGGAUUUAUUGGGCGUAAAGAGCUCGUAGGCGGUUUGGUAAGUCGGGUGUGAAAUCUCCACGCUCAACGUGGAGGGGCCACUCGAUACUGCCAUGACUCGAGUCCGGUAGAGGAGUGUGGAAUUCCCGGUGUAGCGGUGAAAUGCGCAGAUAUCGGGAGGAACACCCGUAGCGAAGGCGGCACUCUGGGCCGGAACUGACGCUGAGGAGCGAAAGCGUGGGGAGCAAACAGGAUUAGAUACCCCCGUAGUCC
rnacentral:rRNA from 1 species